rnacentral:lncRNA from 1 species
CUACUACCCAGAUAUGUAGCACUCUAUGGAGUCAAGUACCGGUAGGUGCUACCUAGCUGCAUAAGUCUGGGGGGUUGGCCACCACGAUUGCAGUAAGUCUACCAGUUAUUCGACAUCCACCGCACUUUCGAAUAACCGGAGCACCCGGGGCUUGGUCAACAAUCACGUCUUCCAAGGUUGAGCACCUCGCGUUGUAUCCCCAAUUAUGUUGUAACGAUAUAGCAUGUCAACCCAAGCAAUCAGCGUUACUACGUUCCGUACCUGCGUCGACAUUGGGCCAAUCAUCCGGUUGAGAUUCCAGUCUUUGAUUAUACGACUACGUACGAGGUAGUAUUGAAACAAAAUGAAGAUAUUAACUGCGGAUUUAUGGGUCAUGAGCAAUAUGUAUUGACAGCAGUCACGGCUUAUCCAUUGUUGGCAACUUGGAACCCGUUAUCCACCACAAGACAGAUUGAUUAAUGAUCACGAUCUUGGUCUAGCAUGUUCGGCACCUACUCAUUCACUGUCGAUCAGGUCUAGAACGACCAAUGAUAGGAAAGACGCGUUCUAGAAACUGGGCCUAGAAAACAACAGCCACUGACACUUUUCAGUGGAUGACAAAAGGAACUGAUAGGUAAUAGAUAAUGUCUACUCCAUUCGGAUCCAUUCACGAAUUAGAAUCUAUGCUAUUCUAUAGUCAUGUACGUAUAUAGUAAUUACUACUUGCGUAUACUAAUCAAUGUGUUGGAAUGGUUAACUUCCAGCCAUCUUAAGGCUUUUUCCCACCAUACCCGAAUACGCGGACGUUGUGUAGUGAUUACUCCUGCUUAUCGGGGUACUACGUAUAAACCAAACUCAAUUAACUAAGUUGACAUUAAGACAACAAGCAAUUUUACUCUAUAAUAACUAGUCACUAGUCACGUGCCGUGUGCCAUGUGGAUCAACGAAACAUCAUGGAACUACCAAGCUUCGAGGGACCAAGUCAGAGAAAAGGACGACCCACGUCCUGGCCUGAGCUAUUGUGUCCGAAGGAUGUGUACGGCGUAGAGUUACUCGUUAGGUUCAUUAGCGGCAGAAGGAUCAAUCCUCCGCUCAGAUUCCGAGGAUUUCGGUCCCUUUGAUUGUGGACCGGAGAAGUGGAACCACCAGGCUCGUCGUCGUGUUAUGAACAAUUCCGUACUUUCAUAGCAUGAUGUGAAAUAGUCGAAACUACGGGAAAGAUUUACAAUGCCGAAACAAAUACAGACCCACGUAAAAUCAACAAUUUCCUGGGUGGAAACUUGGCUGUUUUGGUUCAUGUAUCUAUCCUAUCUACUGUUUAACUAGGGCAGGCCUAAAAUAGCACAUAAAUUAGAACUUCAACCAACAAGUGCUAAUUAAGCCACCUGUCCGGUUAAGAUGGAGGAUCUCUAAUAUUUUCUCUUUUUCAAUCAGCGGGAUCAGAUAGCAAAGCCGAAUCACAAAUUUUAGGAAGCGACAAAAAAGAAACGAAAAGAGAAGCAAAUCUGGGGCUAUCGAUCCUCAGGAAGGAUUACCGGAGAGUAUUGGGACGGGGGUGGCUUUAACAGUCGCCUUAAGACUGAUAAACCAUGAUAGUUCAGAAGGAUCGCUUCCUCGUCAAGAGGGUUAUCAAGGAUCCCUGUAACCCAUGUGUCUGUCCUAUUAUCGCUUACUAUGCGAGCAGGUGAGUUUCCGCCAGCAGAACAUGGGUUCACGGAAUCCACAUAUGUCGAGCAAAGCAAUUUAGAAUUCGGGUUGCCCAAUGCAUCGAACGGGUGUUUGAGCUUGCCUUUUGGGCAUCAUGUUCGACACUUGCAUAUUUUUCGUUGUUUACGGACCGAGACGUUGUUGCUUGUUGAUAGUUAAACACUUGAAACGGCUGGGGCAUCAAGAUCGGAUGAAAUUAUUUUUAGGUCUUGUGAACGCUCCGUACAGGAAUUCGGAAAUGUAACUGCGUAUAUAGCACCUUGUUGGUCAAUAAAAUAUCUCGUGAUGUAUUAUUGAGUAUCUGAUCUUUGGUUACUUGUUCUUUGUGUUUAGUUGUGGUAACUGGGUGAUAGUGCUUAUUCUGACCAGAUAGUGCU